CUGUUACCGUGGAAAGACCGCCGUCAUUUCACUUUCACUUCAGCUCCAACACGAUGCACAACAUCGGCGGAGGAAAGAUCUUUUUAAAUACUCUCUUCUUGGAUGUUAUUUUAUUUUUAUUUUUAAAAUUAUCACUACUAAGUUGAAGAUGUUGGCAUUUCGUUGUGUUGGAUUAUAAUUAGCUUGGAUCUACCGGGCUGAUCGACACGACGCAGCUGCUGGAAAUUUAAAGCAACUGCAGAGGAAAUUAGGGCCAAAGUAAAAGUGAAACCGACUGGAUUCUUCAACGGUCUGAAUCUUUGUUCGUUUCACCGAGGCUCUGUGGCUUCAAUGGAUUUUAAUUCACUAAAGCCGAAGAAUGAGAUGGAUUUAAGGGACAGCCGUCUGUAAAGCAUCAGAUCGCUGGGAGAAAAAAGGAAGAAGAGGAGACGGAGACGGAUUGUGGGCAUCUUGUAUCUCUGGCAUUAUGCACGAUCAGCAGAAAUAACAGACAUUUUGGACAUAUAGAAAG